AUUGAACGCUGGCGGCAUGCCUAACACAUGCAAGUCGAGCGAGCGGCGUACGGGUGGGGAAUGUAUGGGGACUGCCCGUGAGAGCGGGAUAACUAUUGGAAACGGUGGCUAAUACUGCAUACUAUCGGAUGACCCAUCUGGGAUUAGCUUGUAGGUAAGGUAAUGGCUUACCUAGGCGACGAUCCCUAGCUGGGCUGAGAGGAUGAUCAGCCACAUUGGGACUGAGACACGGCCCAGACUCCUACGGAGGCAGCAGUGGGGAAUAUUGCACAAUGGGCGAAAGCCUGAUGCAGCAAUGCCGCGUGUAUGAAGAAGGCCUUAGGGUUGUAAAGUACUUUCAGUCGGGAGGCGUUACCGACAGAAGAAGCACCGGCUAACUACGUGCCAGCAGCCGCGGUAAUAC
rnacentral:rRNA from 1 species